GGUCCUCUUUAACAUAGAAUGGGAUAUUAAGGCAGCUUGCAGGUUAGAAUCGCAGGCUGCACAGUUUGUGGAAACUCUGUCAUAUUUAAACUUUUUUGUAUUGCCCAUGUGAAGCGUAUGUGGAUAAUGUUUGCAAUUUGUUUUUUAUCUGAUAUUGUGUAUGAUUGAUUUUUGUAUUACGGAUGUUUUUAGUGUUGUUUGUUUUUAAUGCAGGUCACCCCCCCCCCUCCGGACAAAUUGGAAGUUGGGUGUGGCCCUAGAGAAAUUUAGGAAGGAUAUUUAACACUGAGUCUGAGGGAAUUCAGUUCCUCAACCCCUGACGAAGCCUAAGGCGAAAACCGGGUCGGGUGUGAUUUUAUGAAAUGUCUUUUUUCGCAUGGACUUUGAUCUGCUCAGUAGAGAUCUUCAAUAUAAAAGCCUUCUCCUGAUUGACCCAUCAAUGAUGGACAGGGACAAGAUGGCGGAGAGUAUAAUAAAUCUCACCCUAGAGAUCCUCUUCCGGCUUACUGGAGAGGACUACACAGUGGUAAAGAAGACCUCUAGUGAGCG